rnacentral:rRNA from 1 species
AUGAGCUCAGCUGCAAGCCAUGUCCGAGGCUCUCUCCUCCUCCUAUUCUGCGUGUUCCUGUUUCACCUUCAUCUCGGAACACCAGCCUACGGCGCAGACAUGUUCGACAGCGGUGGCGACGUCGCCGAUGGCGAGACACUUGUCUCUGCCGGUGGGGCGUUCACCAUGGGAUUCUUCUCCCUUGGGGUGCCAGCGCGGAGGUACCUCGGGAUAUGGUUCUCCGUGUCGGAGGACGCCGUGUGCUGGGUGGCCAACCGCGACAGCCCACUCACUGGCACCUCCGGCGUGCUGGUGCUCGGCAACGCCGGGAGGCUCCUCCUCACGGACGGCGGUCAGGACCGGCGCCGCUUCCGCGGUGGUGCAGCUGCUGGAGUCCGGCAACCUGGUCGUGCGCGAUCAGGCCAGCGGUGCCCACCUGUGGCAGUCGUUCGACCACCCGUCGAACACCUUGCUGCCCGGCAUGAAGACCGGCAAGAACCUGUGGACGGGGGCCGAGUGGUACAUCACGUCGUGGCGCUCGGCCACCGACCCGUCUCCCGGCCCCUACCGGCGCGGCACGGAGACGAAGGCGCUGCCGGAGAACGCGCUUUGGCACAACGGCGUCAAGAAGUACCGCACCGGGCCGUGGAACGGCGUCCCGGAGAUGGCGUCGUACGCCGACAUGUUCUCGUACCAGGUGACGGUAAGCCCCGGCGAGGUCACCUACGCCUACCACGCCAAGGCCGGGCCGCCGUUCUCGCGCGUGGUGGUGACCGACGCCGGGCGUGGAAGACCUUUUACAGCGCGCCGAGGGACGUGUGCGACGCGUACGGCCGGUGCGGCGCGUUCGGCCUGUGCGACGUCAACACGACGUCCACGUCGUUCUGCAGGUGCGUCAAGGGUUUCGACGGGUUUGCAUGA